rnacentral:rRNA from 1 species
AACGAACGCUGGCGGCAUGCCUAACACAUGCAAGUCGAACGAGACCUUCGGGUCUAGUGGCGCACGGGCGCGUAACGCGUGGGAAUCUGCCCUUGGGUUCGGAAUAACUCGCCGAAAGGCGUGCUAAUACCGGAUGAUGUCGCAAGACCAAAGAUUUAUCGCCCAGGGAUGAGCUCGCGUAAGAUUAGGUAGUUGGUGAGGUAAAGGCUCACCAAGCCGACGAUCUUUAGCUGGUCUGAGAGGACGAUCAGCCACACUGGGACUGAGACACGGCCCAG